rnacentral:rRNA from 1 species
AGAGUUUGAUCCUGGCUCAGAUUGAACGCUGGCGGCAUGCCUAACACAUGCAAGUCGCACGCGAAAGGGGGCAACCCCGAGUAGAGUGGCGGACGGGUGCGUAACGCGUAGGAAUAUACCUGGUAGUGGGGGACAACCCGGCGAAAGCCGGGCUAAUACCGCAUACGAUCUACGGAUGAAAGCAGGGGACCGCAAGGCCUUGCGCUAUCAGAUUAGCCUGCGUCGGAUUAGCUAGUUGGUGAGGUAACGGCUCACCAAGGCAACGAUCCGUAGCUGGUUUGAGAGAACGACCAGCCACACUGGGACUGAGACACGGCCCAGACUCCUACGGGAGGCAGCAGUGGGGAAUAUUGGACAAUGGGGGCAACCCUGAUCCAGCAAUGCCGCGUGUGUGAAGAAGGCCUUCGGGUUGUAAAGCACUUUCGAUGGGGAAAAACAAGCCAGACCUAACACGUCUGGCCCUGAUGGUACCCGGAGAAGAAGCACCGGCUAACUCUGUGCCAGCAGCCGCGGUAAUACAGAGGGUGCAAGCGUUAAUCGGAAUUACUGGGCGUAAAGGGUGCGUAGGUGGUUUGUUAAGUCAGCCGUGAAAUCCCUGGGCUCAACCUGGGAACUGCGUUUGAUACUGGCAGACUCGAGUCUGGUAGAGGGUAGUGGAAUUCCGCAUGUAGCGGUGAAAUGCGUAGAUAUGCGGAGGAACAUCAGUGGCGAAGGCGGCUACCUGGACCAAGACUGACACUGAGGCACGAAAGCGUGGGGAUCAAACAGGAUUAGAUACCCUGGUAGUCCACGCCCUAAACGAUGGGUACUAGACGUUGGGAGGUUUAUCCUCUUGGUGUCGCAGCUAACGCAAUAAGUACCCCGCCUGGGGAGUACGGUCGCAAGAUUAAAACUCAAAGGAAUUGACGG